ACUCCUGCGGGAGGCAGCAGUGGGGAAUUUUGGACAAUGGGCGCAAGCCUGAUCCAGCCAUGCCGCGUGCGGGAAGAAGGCCUUCGGGUUGUAAACCGCUUUUGUCAGGGAAGAAAAGGUUCUGGCUAAUACCUGGGACUCAUGACGGUACCUGAAGAAUAAGCACCGGCUAACUACGUGCCAGCAGCCGCGGUAAUACGUAGGGUGCAAGCGUUAAUCGGAAUUACUGGGCGUAAAGCGUGCGCAGGCGGUUAUGCAAGACAGAGGUGAAAUCCCCGGGCUCAACCUGGGAACUGCCUUUGUGACUGCAUGGCUAGAGGACGGUAGAGGGGGAUGGAAUUCCGCGUGUAGCAGUGAAAUGCGUAGAUAUGCGGAGGAACACCGAUGGCGAAGGCAAUCCCCUGGACCUGUACUGACGCUCAUGCACGAAAGCGUGGGGAGCAAACAGGAUUAGAAACCCCGGUAGUCCCAUGA
rnacentral:rRNA from 1 species